rnacentral:rRNA from 1 species
CGGAGGAUCCAAGCGUUAUCCGGAAUCAUUGGGUUUAAAGGGUCCGUAGGCGGUUUGAUAAGUCAGUGGUGAAAGCCCAUCGCUCAACGAUGGAACGGCCAUUGAUACUGUCAGACUUGAAUUACUGGGAAGUAACUAGAAUAUGUAGUGUAGCGGUGAAAUGCUUAGAUAUUACAUGGAAUACCAAUUGCGAAGGCAGGUUACUACCAGUGGAUUGACGCUGAUGGACGAAAGCGUGGGGAGCGAACAGGAUUAGAUACCCUGGUAGUCCACGCCGUAAACGAUGGAUACUAGCUGUUGGGAGCAAUCUCAGUGGCUAAGCGAAAGUGAUAAGUAUCCCACCUGGGGAGUACGUUCGCAAGAAUG